rnacentral:rRNA from 1 species
GACAGAGGUCCCAAGCGUUGUUCGGAUUCACUGGGCGUAAAGGGUGCGUAGGUGGCCAGGUAAGUUCGGUGUGAAAGCUCGGAGCUUAACUCCGAAAUGUCAUUGAAUACUAUCUGGCUUGAGGGUCGGAGGGGAGACUGGAAUUCUCGGUGUAGCAGUGAAAUGCGUAGAUAUCGAGAGGAACACCAGUGGCGAAGGCGAGUCUCUGGACGACUCCUGACACUGAGGCACGAAAGCUAGGGGAGCAAACAGG